rnacentral:pre_miRNA from 1 species
UUUCAGUUUUUGGAUAUAAUAUUUUGACUCUUCGUCUUAUUUAAAUUUUUUUUAUGAUUAAUAUUUUUAUUGUUGCUGAAUGAUAAAACAUGAAUAGUACUUUAUAUAUGACUAAUUUUUUAAAGUUUUUUAACAAUUUUUAAAUAAGACGAAUGGUCAAACUUUAGACACAAAAAUCGAAAAAUGAAGUUAUU